rnacentral:lncRNA from 1 species
UGGCACUCAGACCACACGAAUACAGUUUAAUCGCCAUGGAGCCAAAGUCUUUACAGUCAGUUUCAUACGAAUGGGCUCCAUGGGAUUCCUAUCUGGGGUAUAACAUAUUUGAACAAAAAUACCGAACACCGGGCCGUUCGUGCACUUUCACCGAACAAGAAGGGAGGUCGGCGGCUUCAGCGGUGUUCGCGCAAAACUGUGUCCGAUUUUAG